CACGACACUGCUUCAAUGUACUUACAACACACCUCUAGCCGUUCUUGCAUAUUCAGUUUUUUCCUGUUGAUUUGUUCUCUGCAAUGUUCCUCAAACAAGGUGAGUAGCACCUCUGCUUUAGUUUCAUUCUAGUCAACCCAGAAAUGCAAUAUACAACAUGAAUUUAAAAACACAAUGUUUCUUCCUCACCUAGCCUCCUUAAGAAGAAUACACUAACUUUUCCUUCCAUUGGUGAAGAGGCAAAGUGAUCCCCUCCGCUGACAAUGUUGACCUACUUGCAUAGAGUGCGUGCGAGUCGUCAUUUUCGCAUGAUGAAUGGAAACUGGCCAGUCCGUAAUCUGUAAUUUUCAACACAAAUCGACUGUCCACCACACAAUUAGAUGACUUCAGAUUUCCAUGGGAGCCGAUGUAGCUGUUGUGCAGAUAGUUCAUUCCCUGGCGGAGCAAGCAUGAAAUGUACCGUUCAAGACAUUUUUCCUACAGUAUAGCAUACGUGAAAACAUACUGAUCAUGUGGAAAAUAUGUGUUUUGAGUUUGAUCGAAAUGGAAAUGCAAUAAAAAUUCUGCAUGGA